AUUGAACGCUGGCGGCAGGCCUAACACAUGCAAGUCGAGCGAGCGGCGGACGGGUGAGUAAUGUCUGGGAAACUGCCUGAUGGAGGGGGAUAACUACUGGAAACGGUAGCUAAUACCGCAUACCAUCAGAUGUGCCCAUAUGGGAUUAGCUAGUAGGUGGGGUAAUGGCUCACCUAGGCGACGAUCCCUAGCUGGUCUGAGAGGAUGACCAGCCACACUGGGACUGAGACACGGUCCAGACUCCUACGGGAGGCAGCAGUGGGGAAUAUUGCACAAUGGGCGCAAGCCUGAUGCAGCCAUGCCGCGUGUAUGAAGAAGGCCUUCGGGUUGUAAAGCACUUUCAGUCGGGAGGCGUUACCCGCAGAAGAAGCACCGGCUAACUCCGUGCCAGCCGCCGCGGUAAUAC
rnacentral:rRNA from 1 species